AGAGUUUGAUCCUGGCUCAGGACGAACGCUGGCGGCAGGCUUAACACAUGCAAGUCGAACGCCCCGCAAGGGGAGUGGCAGACGGGUGAGUAACGCGUGGGAAUCUACCCAGUUCUACGGAAUAACCCAGGGAAACUUGGACUAAUACCGUAUACGCCCUACGGGGGAAAGAUUUAUCGGAAUUGGAUGAGCCCGCGUUGGAUUAGCUAGUUGGUGGGGUAAUGGCCUACCAAGGCGACGAUCCAUAGCUGGUCUGAGAGGAUGAUCAGCCACACUGGGACUGAGACACGGCCCAGACUCCUACGGGAGGCAGCAGUGGGGAAUAUUGGACAAUGGGCGCAAGCCUGAUCCAGCCAUGCCGCGUGAGUGAUGAAGGCCUUAGGGUUGUAAAGUUCUUUCAGUAGGGACGAUAAUGACGGUACCUACAGAAGAAGCCCCGGCUAACUUCGUGCCAGCAGCCGCGGUAAUACGAAGGGGGCUAGCGGUGUUCGGAUUUACUGGGCGUAAAGCGCACGUAGGCGGAUCGUUAAGUCGGGGGUGAAAUCCUGGAGCUCAACUCCAGAACUGCCUUCGAUACUGGCGAUCUUGAGUCCGGAAGAGGUGAGUGGAACUCCUAGUGUAGAGGUGGAAUUCGUAGAUAUUAGGAAGAACACCAGUGGCGAAGGCGGCUCACUGGUCCGGUACUGACGCUGAGGUGCGAAAGCGUGGGGGAGCAAACAGGAUUAGAUACCCUGGUAGUCCACGCCGUAAACUAUGAGAGCUAGCCGUUGGGAGAUUUAUCUCUCAGUGGCGCAGCUAACGCAUUAAGCUCUCCGCCU
rnacentral:rRNA from 1 species